GGGAAUUCCAAAUUCAACAUGACUCCCUGGUCUGUCCAACCCCAGGUCGUGACACCCCAUCUGUCCUUUACCACCAGCUGUUUCUCCAGCUUCUCAAGGAUUUUAAUUGGUGCUUUUCUUUAGCUCCUGUUCAAGAAGUUUGCAAGGCUUUACUCCUCAACAACGAGAUUAUUCUCCUAGUACUCAGAAAACACAACCAAGCCUUUCACAGCUGCCCUGGCUCAACGUGGCCACCCUUGCUGUCACCCCUGUUAAUCCCAGCAACAUUCCUCAAGACAAGCUUUUGCUACAGAUGAAAAGCUUGAUCUACAGGAGCAAAAGGUUUCUAGGUAGGUUUUCAGGCAGGGUCUGAGGCACAGGAAUGCUCCCCCCUCCUUCACACCCUAAAAUGCUGAAUGCGUGAGAGCUGGUGGCACGAGGGGAUCUGAGGUGCCUGCUUUGGUGCGAGAAAAUGGCAGCCCGGUGUGGCCGUGCUGCCAGUGCAUGCGGGCACAGCCGUUCUUGUUUGAGUACUUCCCUGAGCAGACAGGUCCUUCUUUAUCAUUUGGUCUAGACUAGAAACAGAGCUAGAACUGCUCACAGCCCACAGGCAGUUGGGGCAAGAUUGGGAGAUGGUUGCUGCCUAGAUGCUUCUUCCUGACAAGGAGAAGAAAGAAAAGCUGCUCCCAACGACAUGCAGGUCAGUACUUCUGUCACUAAAAGCAGCAGGAAGAGGCACAGCAGAACAUGGGUUUGCUCUAGAAUAUCAGCUAAGGCUAAGGGGGAAGUAGACAAGUGUGAGAUGUUCCUGGAGGUCACUCAUUCCUUUCCCUUGUGUCACAGAGGCAAAUGUUUUGUGAAACUGCUCAAAAGAAAAAUCUUUAGCAUUGGAGGCUCUGCCACCCCCCCAGCUUUGUGUCUGCUGCAGCGAGAGAUUACUGACUGUCAGCUGGUUGGAAAAAGGCUCUGAUGAGCAGGGAAUCAAAGGGAAAUCCUUUGGAAAGCCAACUGCAAGAAGCAGAUAUAAGCCCAUCGUGCCAUUUUUAAGGAAAAAACCUGCACCUUCCCAAGACGGUUGUUCUGGCAAAAGAGCUCUGACCUCCUUCUAAAGACAAGACCCAAUUUCAUCCCGCAGAAGAGCCUGCUGCGACCACGAACCCCAGGAGCUGCAAGGAGAGUCAGGGAGAGGAAGGUGGCAUUCCUGACUCUGGGAAGGAGAACUCUGAGCAGGUCCAUACAAAUCCUGGCAAACUUUCUGCGGAGCUGUUUUUAAGGGAGAGAAGGACACAGCUGGGUUAUUCAGCAAAGCAGACACAUGUCCAAGUUGAAAGGGUACUACUUCUCCCACUGACAAGCAUCCACACAUCAGAGGAAUGAGACCCAGGCUCAAAGCUUUCAGCCACUUCUGCUCUCAGGUUAGGAAAGUUGGAAGUUGCUUUUGCAAACUCCAGCCCAACUUGACCAAACACCUGCAACAGUUCUGUCAGCACCUUAGAUGGUCGGUCCAUGGCUGACCGGCUUGCUGAACAAAUAACACCAUGUUAGGAGGAGCCUGUACAUACUCGGUUUUGAGCCUAUGCAACACCAAGCCACAAAGGAAGAUGGAGAAGCCAUCAUCACAGAUGGGGUGAGCAAGGUCCUGCCCACUGCCAUCAGACAGAGAAGAUCGGGCAUCACGUCUGCAACAGCUUAAGAAAAAAGUACAUUGUGUUUUGAGUGUUAUAAAUUUUAAAAAGCCCAAGAGAAGAAGAGGCCUGCUCUCCAGCAAAGCAUUACAGAGAGGUCCCACCUUGCUGGCUGGGGACAUGGUUUUUGACCCCAGAGGUGUGGGGAGUUGGGUGCUGUUGAGGAAAAAAAAAACCAACAAAACAGCAAAUGCUUAAGGGAAGCAAGAAAAAAAAAUUUAGUAGCGAGCAAUUUGGGAAAAUCUUGCCAUUUAAGGGUUUUCCGCUGCUGUGCCUCUGGGAGAGCAGCGGGCCCCGUGCCGAGGGGUGACAGCGGGGGGGGGGGGCGGUGGCAGCGGUGACAGGCUGGGCAGCUGCAGCCCAGCCACAGUGAGAAGAGCAGCGCGCUCACCCUGCUACCGCCAUGUGGGGCUUUCAGCGGGGCUCCCGGCUGCUGGCCGCUGUGCUGCGGACCCCACAGGUCCCCCGGGCACAGGUCACCUCCAAGCCACCCGAACAUCCACUCUCUGCUGCUGAGCAAAUCAUUGCGUUUUCCAUCAUGUCUGCAUGCUUCCUGAUACCAACAGCCUGGAUCCUGGCACACGUGAAGCACUACAAGGGCGGAUCAGGUUAAGAAGCAACAACAACCUGCACCCUGUUGAGAGCAGAAGUAUGACUGAAGAUAAGACCACAGAACAGACCUUCACUGGGAAGGAACCCUCUGAGUUUGUUCAUUAAAAUUCACAUUAGCAUUCA